GGCAUCGCUUCUCCUCUGUGUCUUCUCUCGAUUUCCUCCUUUUCUUCCACGAUCUGAUCGAGUAUUGGCUAUUUCUUUUCUGGAAUCGAUUUGUUUUCGGCUUCUUUUUAGGUUCUUUGAUCAAUCCAUCGACAUGAUCCUGUAGGAGUUUGGAUAUCGUCAGAGUAAACAAUGGCUGGACAAGUUGCUGCCUCACAACCCACUGAAUCAUUUGAAUACAUGCUGCUUGAGGGAGAUCCAUAUCAUUUAAGGCCUGUUGUAUCUACAACAACUCAGAAUAUCCCAUGGAUCGAGCCCAAUGUGCUGAAGUUGAAGCAUAGGAUAGGGCGAGGUCCUUUUGGGGAUGUAUGUAUUGCAACUCAUCACCAAAGUACCAAUGAUUAUGAACACUAUCAUGAAGUUGCUAUCAAAAUGUUAUAUCCCAUUAAGGAUGACCAGAUUCAGACUUGUUUGUCCAAGUUCGAUGAAGUAUUCUCCAAGUGCCAAGGGCUAGAAAAUGUUUGUCUUCUUGAUGGUGUUUCACUUCAAAAUGGAAGAGUCUGCAUUGCUAUGAAAUAUUAUGAGGGAUCAAUUGGUGAUAAGAUGGCUCGUCAAAAGGGUGGUAAACUUUCACUAUCUGAUGUCUUAAGGUAUAGUGCUGAUUUGGCUCAGGGAGUGUUGGAACUCCACAGGAGAGGGUUUCUUCUGCUCAACCUUAAGCCUUGCAACUUUCUUCUUGAUGACCAUGAUCGGGCAGUGAUAGGGGACUUUGGAAUUCCAUUUUUACUCCAUGGAUUUUCACUACCAUGUUCAGACCUAGUUCAGAGGCUUGGUACUCCAAACUACAUGGCUCCUGAACAAUGGGAACCAAGCAUCAAUGGUCCUAUCUCAUUUGAAACUGAUUCAUGGGGAUUUGGAUGUAGCAUUGUUGAGAUGCUAAGUGGCAUACAACCAUGGCAUGGUAGGUCACCUGAUGAAAUUUAUCAACUAGUUGUCAUAAAGAAAGAAAAGCCAAAAAUUCCUCAUGGCUUACCUCCAAAAAUGGAAGAUAUCCUUCAUGGAUGCUUUGAGGAUGAUUUCCGAAAUCGCCCUUUGAUGAAAGAUAUUUUACGUGCAUUCAAAAGUUGUGAUGGUGCUACUUGUAGUGAGAGUGAUGCUGACCACCUGAUGGCAGAAAAGUCAAGCCACAUUAAUUACACCAAUUGGUCACUCCUGAAGGACCAACUCCUAGUGGGUGACACGGUCCGUUCUAGGAAGCCUACAAACUCAUGCAAACCAGAGAGCAUGGAGAUCCCAGAGGGAACCAUUGUUGGCAAGGAAACCCAUGCGGAUAGUGAUGGUUUCAUUCUCAUCAGGGUUCAUGGAGUCUACAAUCCGCUUAGAGUUCACUGCUCCAUGGUGCAGAGGGUCACGAAUGGCUUUGUUGCCGGUGACUGGGUACGGGUGAUGACUGAUGACAAGAAGCAGUCUCCAGUGGGCAUUCUCCAUAAUAUAGAGCGUGAUGGAAGGGUAACAGUUGGCUUUAUUGGAAUGGACACUCUUUGGAAGGGGCACUAUUCAGAGCUUCAAAUUGCUGAAUCCUACUGCGUUGGCCAGUUUUUGAGGGUGAAAACAGGCAUCUCCUGUCCCAGGUUCGAAUGGCCACACAACCACAGAGGAGAAUGGGCGACUGGUAGGAUCUCACAGAUUCAUCCAAAUGGAUGCCUUGUGGUUAAAUUUCCAGGCAAGUUUAGCUUUGGAGAAGCUACAAGCUUUCUUGCAGACCCUUCAGAGAUGGAAGUAGUAAGCUUCAAGACAUGUGAGGGGUUGGCAAAGAAGUACCAGCACCUUGAAGAUAUCCACUGGGCUGUGAGGCCAUUAGUUAUUGCAUUGGGGUUGUUCACAGCAUUGAAGGUGGGGGUCUUCAUUGGAAAAAGCAUGGGCAAGUCGAGGAGAAAGAAGGUUGGUAAAGUUGUUAACAUCUCAGGACAGGUAGAGGAACAGCAGCAGGACGGGCAGAAUGGCUCCAAUUCAGUUUGGCUUCCUCAUCCGGUGGCAAAUAUCCUCUUUGGAGAUGCUGUUCCUGCUAGAUAAAUAUCCAAGGUCAUCAGUCGACAAAUAACUCAUCAAAAUUACACUCAUUGAUGUAUAUAAACAGUGGGUUGACUUUUGCUGGAGAUGAAUUGACUUGAAAUAUUGAACUGAUAAGAAAACAUUAGAAAAAGCUCAGGACAGAACCAGGAUCAGAGUAUCAUAGUUAUAUAUCAUUUUGGUGUUACAGGACUGAAUGAAAUCUCACAUCACGAGAUGCUAUUUGAGCUAAAGAGCUAUUUGUAGUAUUUCUGUGGCGAGUAUAUCAUUAAUUUAUGGUAUUGCAGAUAAAACUUGUAACAGCCAUUUGUAGAUACCAUGAAAUAUUCAUGAAAACACAAAUGUUUUGGAGA